GAUGAACGCUGGCGGCGUGCCUAAUACAUGCAAGUCGAGCGAACAGACGAGGAGCUUGCUCCUCUGACGUUAGCGGCGGACGGGUGAGUAACACGUGGAUAACCUACCUAUAAGACUGGGAUAACUUCGGGAAACCGGAGCUAAUACCGGAUAAUAUAUUGAACCGCAUGGUUCAAUAGUGAAAGACGGUUUUGCUGUCACUUAUAGAUGGAUCCGCGCCGCAUUAGCUAGUUGGUAAGGUAACGGCUUACCAAGGCAACGAUGCGUAGCCGACCUGAGAGGUGGGGGGGCCACACGUGAACUGAGACACGGACCGGACGAAUACGGGAGGCAGCAGUGGCGAGUGGUUGACGAUGGUCGUAAGCCUGAAAGAGCUACGUAGCAGGGAAGAUGAAAGUCUUAAGUACCUAAGACUCUGUUGACGGGAAAGAACCAGAGUGCAAGUAACUACUACCGUCUAGACGGCACGGUAUUAGAAAGACACCACUAGUUUCAUG
rnacentral:rRNA from 1 species